rnacentral:rRNA from 1 species
GUGCUAAUACAUGCAAGUCGAGCGGACAGAAGGGAGCUUGCUCCCGGAUGUUAGCGGCGGACGGGUGAGUAACACGUGGGUAACCUGCCUGUAAGACUGGGAUAACUCCGGGAAACCGGAGCUAAUACCGGAUAGUUCCUUGAACCGCAUGGUUCAAGGAUGAAAGACGGUUUCGGCUGUCACUUACAGAUGGACCCGCGGCGCAUUAGCUAGUUGGUGAGGUAACGGCUCACCAAGGCGACGAUGCGUAGCCGACCUGAGAGGGUGAUCGGCCACACUGGGACUGAGACACGGCCCAGACUCCUACGGGAGGCAGCAGUAGGGAAUCUUCCGCAAUGGACGAAAGUCUGACGGAGCAACGCCGCGUGAGUGAUGAAGGUUUUCGGAUCGUAAAGCUCUGUUGUUAGGGAAGAACAAGUGCAAGAGUAACUGCUUGCACCUUGACGGUACCUAACCAGAAAGCCACGGCUAACUACGUGCCAGCAGCCGCGGUAAUACGUAGGUGGCAAGCGUUGUCCGGAAUUAUUGGGCGUAAAGGGCUCGCAGGCGGUUUCUUAAGUCUGAUGUGAAAGCCCCCGGCUCAACCGGGGAGGGUCAUUGGAAACUGGGAAACUUGAGUGCAGAAGAGGAGAGUGGAAUUCCACGUGUAGCGGUGAAAUGCGUAGAGAUGUGGAGGAACACCAGUGGCGAAGGCGACUCUCUGGUCUGUAACUGACGCUGAGGAGCGAAAGCUGAGCUCC